UUUUCUGUAGAUGCACUGGUGAGGCAUUUCAUGGUGAUGAUCAAGUAAAGAAACAACUGGGCAAAUCCUCAUCACUACGUGUCCAGGAGUCAAACCUGAAAGAUUCUGACAUCGUCAUUAUCUUCUGUCCAAUCACAUCCCGUGUUGGAUCAGAUGUGGAAUCAUGCAUGAAAGAUGAAACAGUGUCAUCAUUGAAGAAACCAAUCAUCUUGGUUCUGAUGCAUCACACCAGAGACCUUGACUAUUCAACUGCUGGAACAAUCUGGUCUGAGGUUUAUCCAAAUGUUGUGCUUGAUGUUCACGUUCUGUUCCAUGAGACUAAACCAGGAUUACUGACAUGUAGACAAAAUCAGGAGGCUUUUGAGAUGAUUAGAAAUGAGCUAAUGAAAUAUUCAAAA